rnacentral:rRNA from 1 species
CCUACGGGAGGCAGCAGUGAGGAAUAUUGGUCAAUGGGCGGGAGCCUGAACCAGCCAAGUCGCGUGAGGGAAGACGGUCCUAUGGAUUGUAAACCUCUUUAGGCGGGGAGCAAUGCCGGGCACGUGUGCCCGGAGGGAGAGUACCCGCAGAAUAAGCAUCGGCUAACUCCGUGCCAGCAGCCGCGGUAAGACGGAGGAUGCGAGCGUUAUCCGGAUUUAUUGGGUUUAAAGGGUGCGUAGGCGGAGUUUUAAGUCAGCGGUAAAAUGUCCGGGCUGAACCCGGGCCGGCCGUUGAAACUGGGGAGCUUGAGUGGGCGAGAAGUAUGCGGAAUGCGUGGUGUAGCGGUGAAAUGCAUAGAUAGCACGCAGAACUCCGAUUGCGAAGGCAGCAUACCGGCGCCCGACUGACGCUGAGGCACGAAAGCGUGGGGAUCGAACAGGAUUAGAUACCCCUGUAGUC